UGUGACGUGGAGCCACUGUUAUGGGGGGAGAGGCAUGAAGAGGCCAGAGGUGGAGACGGGGCUGGGAGCAGGCAUCGAACGAGAGAGGGCACUAGGGAGCCGAGGAAGGUAGCCAUGAGCCAUCAGUGAACCAGAAGCAUGGGAACUGAAGCAGGUCACUGUGUGAGCGCCAUUGCGUGAGCAUCCGAGGCUUCUGAGGAGUCUGAGACCGGCUUUACCGUGUGAGCAACUGUCAUUGCUAAACUGGAAUGGAAAGCAUUCAGCAUAGUCUGUACCAUCAGGUCCUCCCAGGGCUCCAGCCUGUGCAGCUGUGUACCGGUCACCACAGGCACAACUCCUCACUUGGCCCUAACCUGCUAACCCUGCAGCACACCACACCAAGUGCGCCCAGUUGCCAAUUUCCAACCGUGAAUCACACUCCCUCUCUUGAGCCACAGAGCUUCCAGUUGAGAUUCUGUGGCUAUUACCACACAGUCUGGGGUUUCUCUCCCCAGGAUGUUAAGCAACAAAAUCCAAGUUAUCUUUGAAGAAA